rnacentral:rRNA from 1 species
UGGCGGCGCGUUUUAAGCAUGCAAGUCGAGCGGUAAGCUAACUUCGGUUAGCCUAGAGCGGCGGACGGGUGAGUAACGCGUGGGCAACCUGCCCUGUAUAAAGGGAUAGCCACUGGAAACGGUGAUUAAUACCAUAUAAAAUCAUAGUGUCGCAUGACACAUUGGUCAAAGAUUUAUCGGUAUGGGAUGGACCCGCGUCUGAUUAGCUAGUUGGUAAGGUAAUGGCUUACCAAGGCGACGAUCAGUAGCCGACCUGAGAGGGUGAUC